CGAAACUGUGGAUGAACCUCUUUAGAGGUUCGUGGUAGGAGAGCGUUCUAAGGGCGGUGAAGUCAGACCGGAAGGACUGGUGGAGCGCUUAGAAGUGAGAAUGCCGGUAUGAGUAGCGAAAGAAGGGGGAGAAUCCCUUCCACCGAAUAUCUAAGGUUUCCUGAGGAAGGCUCGUCCGCUCAGGGUUAGUCGGGACCUAAGCCGAGGCCGAUAGGCGUAGGCG
rnacentral:rRNA from 1 species